rnacentral:rRNA from 1 species
ACGAACGCUGGCGGCGUGCCUAAUACAUGCAAGUAGAACGCUGAAGAGAGGAGCUUGCUCUUCUUGGAUGAGUUGCGAACGGGUGAGUAACGCGUAGGUAACCUGCCUUGUAGCGGGGGAUAACUAUUGGAAACGAUAGCUAAUACCGCAUAACAAUGGAUGACACAUGUCAUUUAUUUGAAAGGGGCAAUUGCUCCACUACAAGAUGGACCUGCGUUGUAUUAGCUAGUAGGUGAGGUAACGGCUCACCUAGGCGACGAUACAUAGCCGACCUGAGAGGGUGAUCGGCCACACUGGGACUGAGACACGGCCCAGACUCCUACGGGAGGCAGCAGUAGGGAAUCUUCGGCAAUGGGGGCAACCCUGACCGAGCAACGCCGCGUGAGUGAAGAAGGUUUUCGGAUCGUAAAGCUCUGUUGUAAGUCAAGAACGAGUGUGAGAGUGGAAAGUUUACACUGUGACGGUAGCUGACCAGAAAGGGACGGCUAACUACGUG